AAUAUUGUUUUGAAUUUUUUAAACAAAUCAUUUUCAUAUACUUUUAAAAUCUGAUGAAUCUUUGUCCCACUCCAGAUUUACUCUUCAUUCUUUUCUGCCCUACUAUGUGAUCCAAAAGACUGUUUCCAUGGUAUUAUUAUAAAUUCCUUCAAGGAAGACUUUGCAUCUUUAGCUUUUUAUAUACCUUACAGUUACUCUACAACAACAUAGAUCCCUAGUAAACUCAAUACACUUGAGGUAAUAUGGUAAAGUAUAAAAAGAUCAAGAGUCCAGUCCUGGUUGUGUCACUUAUUAACAACUAAUUUUAGGGCAAAUUUAUUUUUGCUUAUCUAGGAGUAUCUUUGUUCAUUGAUAAAAUGGAGAAGAGAGAGUAAGCCUAAUUGGUAAGAACCCAAUCUUCUCAUUCCUGAUUCAUACAGGGCAUUUCUGUUUUUAUCUGUUUUAUGUAACUACUGAGCUUUUUAAUACAAAAUUUCAUUGGUAAAAACAAAGGGUUCUGCUUCUUUAAAAACUUCCGAAAAUUAUUGUUCUCAUCACAGCCCACCACGGGGAUCCUGAAGCACAGAGAGGUACAUGGCUUUGCCUCUUUUUUUUUUUUUUCUUUUUUUUUUUUUAUUAUACUUUUAAGUUUUAGGGUACAUGUGCACAUUGUGCAGGUUAGUUACAUAUGUAUACAUGUGCCAUGCUGGUGCGCUGCACCCACUAACUCGUCGUCUAGCAUUAGGUAUAUCUCCUGAUGCUAUCCCUCCCCUCUCCCACCACCCCACAACAGUCCCCAGAGUGUGAUAUUCCCCUUCCUGUGUCCAUGUGAUCUCAUUGUUC
rnacentral:lncRNA from 10 species